rnacentral:rRNA from 1 species
GAUGAACGCUGGCGGCGUGCCUAAUACAUGCAAGUCGAGCGAACAGACGAGGAGCUUGCUCCUCUGACGUUAGCGGCGGACGGGUGAGUACCACGUGGAUACCCUACCUAUAAGACUGGGAUAACUUCGGGAAACCGGAGCUAAUACCGGAUCAUAUAUUGAACCGCAUGGUUCAAUAGUGAAAGACGGUUUUGCUGUCACUUAUAGAUGGAUCCGCGCCGCAUUAGCUAGUUGGUAAGGUAACGGCUUACCAAGGCGACGAUGUGUAGCCGACCUGAGAGGGUGAUCGGCCACACUGGAACUGAGACACGGUCCAGACUCCUACGGGAGGCAGCAGUAGGGAAUCUUCGGCAAUGGGCGAAAGCUUGACGGAGCAACGCCGCGUGAGUGAUGAAGGUCUUCGGAUCGUAAAACUCUGUUAUUAGGGAAGAACAAAUGUGUAAGUAACUAUGCACGUCUUGACGGUACCUAAUCAGAAAGCCACGGCUAACUACGUG